rnacentral:rRNA from 1 species
GGUUCGAUUAUGAAGCUCAGAUUGAAUGCUGGCGGGAUGCUUUACACAUGCAAGUCGAACGGCACGGACUUCGGUCUGGUGGCGAGUGGCGAACGGGUGAGUAAUGUAUCGGAACGUGCCGCAGAAGUGGAUAACUACGCGAAAGCGUAGCCGACAUCGCACACGGCCCUUCGGGGGAAAGCGGGGAUCUUCGGGCCUCUGCACUAUUAGAGCGGCCGAUAUCGGAUUAGCGAAGUUGGUGGGGUAAAUGGCUCACCACAGCGACGAUCCGUGCCUGGUUUGAGGGACGACCAGCCACACUGGGACUGAGACAUGGCCUGACUCCUACGGGAGGCAGCAGUGGGGAAUUUUGGACAAUGGGGAAACCCUGAUCCAGCCAUCCCGCGUAUGCGAUGAAGGCCUUCAUGGGCUAAAGCACUUUGGCAGAAAGAAAUGGCACGGAUAAUACCCCGUGCAACUGAUUUACACCUGAGAAUAAGCACCGGCUAACUACGUGCCAACAGCCGCGGUAAUACGUAGGGUGCAAGCGUUAAUCGGAAUUACUGGGCGUAAAGCGUGCGGUGCGGUUCGGAAAGAAAGAUGUGAAAACCAGAGCUUAACUGGAACUGUUUAUCUACCGAGCUAGAGGUAAUGAGGGAGGUAACCGUGUGGGCAGCAGAAACGCAGAUAUGCGGAGGAACACCGAUGGCGAAGGCAGCCUCCUGGGAUAACACUGAUUGCUGCACGAAAGCGGGGAACAAACAGGAUUAAUUUCGGUAGUCCACGCUUCAAACGAUGUCAAUUGGCCGUUGGGGCCUUUCGGCUCGUAAAGCAGCUUAACGCGUGGGGUUGACCGCCUGGGGAGUACGGUCGCAAGAUUAAACCAAGAAUGACGGACUGCACAAGCGUGAUGAUGUGGAUUAAUUCAAGAUGCAAACGCCGAAAACCUUACCUACCCUUGACAUGUCUGGAAUCCCGAAGAGAUUUGGGAGUGCUCGCAAGAGAACCGGAACACAGGUGCUAUGGCUGUCGUCAGCUCGUGUCGUGAGAUGUUGUUAAGUCCCGCAUCGAGCGCAAACCUUGUCAUUAGUUGCUGCCGAAAGGGCACUCUAAUGAGACUGCCGGUGACAAACCGGAGGAAGGUGGGGAUGACGUCAAGUCCUCAUGGCCCUUAUGGGUAGGGCUUCACACGUCAUACAAUGGUCGGGACAGAGGGUCGCCAACCCGCGAGGGGGAGCCAAUCCCAGAAACCUGAUCGCGUCCGGAUCGCAGUCUGCAACUCGACUGCGUGAAGUCGGAAUCGUCAGUAAUCGCGGAUCAGCAUGUCGCGGUGAAUACGUUCUGGGUCUUGUACACACCGCCCGUCACACCAUGGGAGUGGGUUUUACCAGAAGUAGUUAGCCUAACCGUAAGGAGGGCGAUUACCACGGUAGGAUUCAUGAUUGGGGUGGGUUGCAACAAGGUAA